GAUGUAAAAUAAGGAUGCAAUAAUCUUGUUGCAUAAGUGUGCAAAACCCAUAAACUAAGACUUUGCUCAAGCUACUCUUAAUUAAAUUCUUCUUGAUUUCUCAUCUGCCAUCAAACACAUGUGAAUCGAAUCUAUAACAAAGAUCAUCUUUUCCAGUUAAAUUUUCAUUGUGUCCGAUUAUUUGCAUCUUUCAGCCAAAUGCCUCAAUUUCUAGAAAAGUUGCAAAUGAUAUAAAAAAAAAAAAGAUCAAAUUGUGUAAACAUAUCAGUCAGGAGCAAAGAACAAAACAAUCUCCAGGAUGUUAUGUCAUCAUAUGAAAUCAACAGAGAUGUAACUACUACUACUACUUUAUAAGAGCUCAAUGUUAUGUUUGAAACGUGGAAAAAGUCUAAACUCAUUAAAAUUCUACCCCAGUACUCGAAAAUGAAAACUGCCCCUGUCAUGUUGAUGGAUCUGUCCAUAUGCAUUAGAUAUUAUACUUGCCUAUAAAAAUUCAAGAGUAGUUUUUAACUUGUGUCAAAAUAAGUUCAUUUUAAAACCACUUUAGACUGGACCCUUUUCGAUAUGAGUGUAUAUACAUAUAAAUAGAUACACUGCGAGAUGAAACGCAUACAUGCAGUCCAACAAACUACUGCUGCUAUUGAGCUGAAACCGAUGGAAAUGAUUUCUCUCUUCAGGUCAACCUGGAGAGACGACGCUAUUUUAUGGUUCGUUGGUUCCCUGACCCAAAUAAAAAAAAUCUUUAACUUUGUGUCGACCGCAGAAGGUGCCUGACAUCCGUUUGUUUUUUGCUCUACUUCUUGCUUCUUUCUCUUUUAGUUGCUGUAGCAGGACGAGCGAGACGAGAAUUGCUCAAACGUCUGAUCUGAGGAGUCUGUGCUUCUCUUUCCACUUUCUUCAGUGUAAUACUCUAAGAUUAACCCAACUCAAAUGAACUAUUGUGUGCUAAAAUGAAAAAAAUAUAUAUUUAUUUAAACAGAUUUUAUGUCUCACUUUAUUCACCGUGAGAGGCAAAACAAUAAUAAUACUCUACUGAUAAAGUCAGAAAGAUUGGUACAUUUUUAUUUUCUUUUUACAUUUAAUGCUUCUUUCCAGUAAAUCAUAACUUUUAUUAGAUAUGCUAUUGUUUUUUUUUAUUUUUUUUUUUAGGUUGAACAGUGUAAAGGUCCUUAAACUUUGAGAAGAUUUCGAAGCUUUUCCAUACCUAAUUUUCUCUUUAUAUACUCCCUAAAACAUACAGUCUGAAAAAUGUACAACACCCAUUAAAUAUUCAGUUCUUUAACAAAAACAAAAAAAAAACCUUCAUAUAUAGACGUCUUGACUUUCUCAACCUCGUUUUUGAAGCCUGGGGAAUCAGGACUUUCCAUUUUUUCUUAAUUCUCAGCAAGUCUAUGGUGGACUUACUGGUAGGUUUUACAUCAUUGUUUUGUGGGGUGGGGGGUCCAGUUAUCCUUCAGCUUCAUUUUUGUAAUUGAUAGUUUUCUCAAGCAUCCUCUGGUGUAUGAUGGACUGAUGAUGUCUUAUAAAACAUCUCCAAACCAUUUCCUCGACGUAUGAAGUUCCCUUCUUUUAAUGCUCUUUAAAGCUUAUGAGGAAAAUCUCCUUUGCUCUGUAAUCUGGAUAACUAAAGACUAGACUCAUCUGUCAAAAUAUUUUUUUUUUUCCACAAGUGCUGCUGGUGCUUCAACAUUUUCACCAAUCCGUCGCAUGGGAACCGAAAUGCGCGUGGUGCACUUUCGCCCUCUGGUGGCCUAACUUGACAUUUCACCCAAAAUGUUUUCUAGUCCACAGGUCAGCUAAUCUGCAGCUGAUGUGACAGUGGCAGGCCUUCAUCAGUCUCUGCUGUGACCUGAAGCUGACAUGAAACACUGAUCUGAUUGUUCAGUGUGAUGUUAUAUUUCUAACUACUACAAACCUACCAUCUUAUGUUAUCUCCUGCAAAAGUUUUCCUGACACACUUUCUCCAGCUGAAAGUGUGUCAGUCUUGAGAGACCAGAAAGUCACACAAACACACACAAGGUAAUGUGGUAAUGUAUUUUUUAUUAUUUUAGAAAAAUAGUUUUUUAUAUAUAUAUAAAAACAAAUAAGUUAUGAAUUCCAGCAGCUGCUUUAAGUUUCCUUUGUAAUGACAUCUCUCCACAUCAACAUUCUCUGUCGCUAUCAUUCUCACACACACACACACACACUUUCUUGCUUGACACAGACACACUCCCACACACA